rnacentral:rRNA from 2 species
GGAUGCAAUCAUACCAGCACUAAAGCACCGGAUCCCAUCAGAACUCCGAAGUUAAGCGUGCUUGGGCGAGAGUAGUACUAGGAUGGGUGACCUCCUGGGAAGUCCUCGUGUUGCAUUCC